GGUUUAUGCGUUACUUUUUUUUCUUCUUGUUUUUCAGCAUUCAUCCAUCAAGCCACAGAUGACUUGGAGACAGAGACAUUGCACCGGCAGCAGCAGUAGCGACAGCAUUGUGAUCUCGAGGAGCAAGAGCAGGGAAGGAAGAGCUUCUUAUGCUGACCACAUCACAGCUAUCAUAUAGCUACGGUGUUGCUGUAGGUGAUUUAGGAGACCUCAAUGAACUGAUCCGUGCUGGUUCAGGUGAGGAGAUGCCUGAGUGGGUGGCGCAGAUGGAGAGGGACCUGUGUCGCCAUGAGAAGAUGGCCAGAUGACACGAGGGAACGUCA